GGAGCCCUGCAGGGGAGCGGAUGGGGAGUGAAUGAGCGUGCGGGGGAUGAGUGUGCACCUGAGCGUGCGUGGGGGUGUGUGCGCGGGGGCGGCGUGCGUGUGCAGGGGGGGGUGCGGAGCAUGUGGCCCUGCUGGAAUCCCGCCUACACGUUGAUCUUAUUCGAUCGGGCCGGGGGCGGCCGCCCGGCCCGAGAUGAGAAGACCCCUCCCGCGAAGCCCGCGGGCGCUGUGCGGGGCAGAGUUGGAGGCCGCAGCCGGCACGUCCGGCGCUCAGAGAUGAUGAGUCGAUCAGAUAGAUGAGGCCGCGGGGCGGGUCCGCGCUGGCCCGAGCCCCCGGCCCAUGAGUAUCGAGGCGAUUCUGAUCUGA